ensembl:miRNA microRNA 92a-1
AGGUUGGGAGGGGUGUCAGUGCUGUUACUCUGAAGGUAUUGCACUUGUCCCGGCCUGU